AGCAGCCGCGGUAAUUCCAGCUCCAAUAGCGUAUAUUAAAGUUGUUGCAGUUAAAAAGCUCGUAGUUGAAUUUCGGGGUCAGUAGGUUGGUCAUGCCUUUGGUAUGUACUGGUCUCACUGAUUCCUCCCUCUUGAAGAACUGUAAUGUCAUUAACUUGGUGUUGCGGGGAAUCAGGACUGUUACUUUGAAAAAAUUAGAGUGUUUAAAGCAGGCUUACGCUUGAAUACAUUAGCAUGGAAUAAUGAAAUAGGACGUUUGAUCCUAUUUUGUUGGUUUCUAGGAUUGACGUAAUGAUUAAUAGGGAUAGUUGGGGGCAUUAGUAUUCAAUUGUCAGAGGUGAAAUUCUUGGAUUUAUUGAAGACUAACUACUGCGAAAGCAUUUGCCAAGGAUGUUUUCAUUAAUCAAGAACGAAAGUUAGGGGAUCGAAGACGAUCAGAUACCGUCGUAGUCUUAACCAUAAACUAUGCCGACUAGGGAUCGGAUGAUGUUAAUUUUUUAAUGACUCAUUCGGCGCCUUA
rnacentral:rRNA from 1 species